rnacentral:rRNA from 1 species
UCCAGACUCCUACGGGAGGCAGCAGUGAGGAAUAUUGGUCAAUGGUCGGGAGACUGAACCAGCCAAGCCGCGUGAGGGAGGAAGGUACAGAGUAUCGUAAACCUCUUUUGUCAGGGAACAAAGGCGGGGACGUGUCCCCGGAUGAGUGUACCUGAAGAAAAAGCAUCGGCUAACUCCGUGCCAGCAGCCGCGGUAAUACGGAGGAUGCGAGCGUUAUCCGGAUUUAUUGGGUUUAAAGGGUGCGUAGGCGGAAUGCCAAGUCAGGGGUAAAGCCGCGGGGCUAAACCCCGACAAGCCGUUGAAACUGGCUUGCUAGAGUGGGCGAGAAGUAUGCGGAAUGCGUGGUGUAGCGGUGAAAUGCAUAGAUAUCACGCAGAACUCCGAUUGCGAAGGCAGCAUACCGGCGCCCAACUGACGCUCAGGCACGAAAGCGUGGGUAUCGAACAGGAUUAGAUACCCUCGUA